rnacentral:misc_RNA from 1 species
UGUGGUGGGGUAUGUUAUCAGUGGGGAACUGUUGACGUGGCUGUCUACAAGGUCGUACCGGCCGCGCGCCUAGCGAGUACCGAGUACCGCCGCGUCGCGCAGUCCUAGCAGAGCCGCGUGCCAGUCCGGUAGUGUCGCCCGUGCGCGUGCGUGUGUGAUGGUGCGCGAGUGAACAUGGAAGCGGCCACGGCGACCAUGCCCCACAACCACUCGCUGGACAAGGAGAGGAAUGUGCUCCACGUGCUGGAGGAAGGAGAGGUGGACGCGGACCCGGCGAAAAGCGCGGGAAACGAUGCGCGCGUCACGUCCGCAAACUGUGACAACAGUGCGUCGAAACACGACGAGGAAACGGCCGUGACCCCUGAGGUCAUCGAGGAAACUGUGAACUUUCUGGAGAGCGAGAGAGCAGAAACUGUGAAGAGCUUGGGGAGUGAAAAGGCACGAGGAGAGGAAGAGUCGAAUUUUGAAACGUUGGAACAAGAACUGGGCUUGUCCGAUACGGCGGGCAACGAUGACGAUUUGGCGCCCAGGAAAUUCUCAGAAGCGGAAAACGUGUGGGUGAAAAUCGAAGAGAUGGACGAAGAGAGUGUGGCGAAACUGGAGGAAAACGGGCACGAGAACGUGGCUCAAAAAAUUGAGGAACCCAUAGAAGCCAAGAGUGAGCCCCCGGUGAGCGUACACAAUACUCUGUUGAUAACUGAGGACACGGACCAUUCGGCAGAGGCAAUCAUCGAACCCAGCCAAGCGGAGGAGGACCAGCCCAAGAAGCUGGAACUGCACAUCAGCGAGUCCGACCUCCUGGGCGAGGGCGAGAACACGGACGUGCCCCUGACCAUCGAUACCGCCGAUAACAAGGACACGAAGGAAGUGUACUCGUGUCAGUCCUCUCCGGGCUACGUGAAGCCCCAGGCGGGACGGUUCAACAUUAUAAAACAGAACUCCCUGGACACCCAUGUCCUGUCAGACGACGAGUCCGAUGCGGCCCGCGCGAAAAGAGGAACGUUACAUUCGCCUUCAUCGAAAAUUAUAACGAAAAUGACUCCGAUCACCUGGGACCAGUGGAUGAAGAGACCCGCGUCUUACAUUCCGCCCCCGAAAUCCCCCUUGGCCGAGACCGCGGUCACAGCAGUCGACGGCAAGCUGGACGAGUUGAAAGCGGCUCCCGUCGGCGAAAGUCCAAAAGUGAAGAAAACCCGGUUCCAGAUAAUUCCGCAAACCGCGGAAGUUUUGGACUCGAACCGCGAGGAAGCUAAAACCUUAGAAACGUUUGACGAGACCGAAGAAGACCAGUUCUUGUUGGAAAAUCCCAAUGUGCUGUUGGAGAGCCACCUGAACGAACUCACGAUGGUGGAAAGUCAACUGAAGAAGUUAGGGGCUGCGGCGAAAGCGGGGUCAAAGAAGUUGGGACCGAAGCCGGAAACGGAACAGAAGGACAUGAAGAGGGCCAGUUCGGCGGACCAGAAGAGCAAGGGGUGGCUGGGGUGGUUGUCCGUGUUCACGAAGAAGCACGGUCAGGCUCCGCCCUCUCCGCCGCCCAAGAAGCAGCCGGCCCGGAGGAAACAGCAUCAACCCCGGCGGCUGGCAGCACCACCCUUACUGCCUGAGUACAGCAACGCCAGGAUCGUCUAUAUCGAUGGCAGCGAGAGUGCGACGGCAGGUCGGGUCUCCUCUUCGAGGAGUCGGACCUCUGAUGAGCCCCACAUCGGCAAGUACAAACUACUCAAGACCAUCGGCAAGGGCAACUUUGCCAAGGUCAAACUGGCAAAACAUGUUCCCACGGGAAAAGAGGUAGCAAUCAAAAUAAUAGACAAGACACAAUUAAAUCCAGGGAGUUUACAAAAGUUAUUUAGAGAAGUUAGGAUAAUGAAGAUGCUAGAUCAUCCAAACAUAGUCAAAUUAUUUCAAGUAAUAGAGACAGAAAAAACAUUGUACCUGGUAAUGGAGUAUGCAAGUGGUGGAGAGGUUUUCGACUACUUGGUACUUCAUGGGAGGAUGAAGGAAAAGGAAGCUCGGGCCAAGUUUAGACAGAUUGUAUCUGCUGUUCAGUAUUGUCAUCAAAAGAAAAUCAUUCACAGAGACCUUAAGGCUGAGAAUCUAUUGCUAGACAGUGAAAUGAAUAUCAAGAUUGCUGACUUUGGCUUCAGCAACGAGUUCACGCCUGGCAAUAAGCUGGACACGUUCUGCGGGAGUCCACCCUACGCAGCUCCUGAACUCUUCCAAGGAAAAAAGUACGAUGGACCAGAAGUGGAUGUGUGGUCACUCGGUGUAAUUUUAUAUACAUUAGUCAGUGGUUCGUUACCGUUUGAUGGCUCGACGCUACGCGAGCUGAGAGAACGGGUGUUGAGGGGGAAGUACAGAAUUCCAUUCUACAUGUCAACCGACUGUGAAAACCUGCUCAAGAAAUUCCUCGUCCUAAACCCUGCCAAGCGAGCUUCUUUAGAAAACAUUAUGAAAGACAAAUGGAUGAACAUGGGCUAUGAGGAUGAUGAACUAAAACCUUACUUAGAACCAGAACCUGAUUUCAAGGACCUCAAAAGGAUAGGUUUUCCUGUUAUAGAAGCCCUAGUCGGAAUGGGUUACAGUAGAACAGAAAUUGAAGACAGCUUAGCACAAGCUAAGUACGAUGAUGUCUUCGCAACGUACCUGCUGUUGGGACGGAAAUCAACAGAUCCCGAGAGUGAUGGAUCACGGUCUGGCAGUUCACUUUCUCUACGCAACAUGGCACCAGGCGGUGGUACCACCAGUACCACCACUUCAAAUGCACAGUCGCCGAGCCACCGUGGUGUCCACCGUUCCAUCAGUGCUACCAACGCGAAACCCAGCCGGCGAGCUAGUAGUGGCGGGGAGACCCUGCGUGAGUCGACUCAGCCGGCCAACGGGGUGCAAAAUAGGCGGCUGCUUAGCCUGCUAGGUGGUGUGCCGGCGGGAGGUACUGCCAAUGUGACCAACCACAACCACAGCGGCGGGGGUGGUGGUGGCGGCACCGGUGGGGGUACAGCCACUGCCAGCAACUUUAAGCGCCAGAACACAGUAGAUUCGGCCACCAUCAAGGAGAACACUGCGCGUCUCAACUCGCGCGGGUCCGACCAAGAAUGCCAACCUGCCUGUCUUAGACACGAUGGGACCGACAGACGGAGCGAGCCCGGGCAAGCCACGUGUGACCAAGUCCAACACGAUGCAGGGAGGCAACCGAGUGCUCGCCCCCGGCGGGUCUGUGGGCCGACGCUCCACCAUCAGCUACGAGGCCAAGGCCAGCAGCAACGAAAAGACCAACACGGCUGGAGACACGCCCAGUGCGCUGGACACCCGAGCGGCCAAGGGACACAUCAAGUCUGCGUCAAUCUCCACCUCCUCGGGCCGGCCCCCACACGAACUCGACCCCUCUCUCGAUCCUCUCCGACAAAGUGUGGCCGUAUGUCGAGGACCUCCGGCCUCGCCUGCCCAGACCAACCGCCAGCCGUUCCCCCGCAAUGUGCCGUCUCGUUCCACCUUCCAUAGCGGACAGAACCGCCAGCGAGGCUACGGCACCCCCUCCCCCACUGGGGCCCCCCAUGACGCCAACGCUAGGCCUUCCUUCUUCUCCAAGCUCUCGUCUAGGUUCUCCAAGCGGCCUACCAAUUAGAGGAGACCACCAGCCAGCGGUUCGAGCACUGUGCCACGCAAAGCCAAGAAAUUUAUACUUUUCCGAGCAAAGUGUUCGAUGCUGUUGGAUACCAUGUGGAAUAUUAGUUGUACAAUUUACAUUUAU